UACGAAGGGGGCUAACGUUGUUCGGAAUCACUGGGCGUAAAGGGUGCGUAGGCGGCGCGGUAAGUCGGGUGUGAAAUCUCGGAGCUUAACUCCGAAACUGCAUUCGAUACUGCCGUGCUUGAGGACUGGAGAGGAGACUGGAAUUUACGGUGUAAGCGGUGAAAUGCGUAGAUAUCGUAAGGAAGACCAGUGGCGAAGGCGGGUCUCUGGACAGUUCCUGACGCUGAGGCACGAAGGUCAGGGGAGCAAACGGG
rnacentral:rRNA from 1 species